CUCUUCCAGGUUUCCAAGAUGCCUUUCCAGACUAGAACCCAGACAUGUGAGCCACUGGCCAGACACAACAGUGCUGGAGGAGCUGAGAAUUCUUAUUGACCUGAAGGCUGCUAGAAGAAGACCGGCAGCUAGGAGGAGAGUUUCAAAUCCCACCAAUGUUGACACACUUCCUCAAACAAGGCUCCAUCUACUCCAACAAGACCGCAUACCUGCUAAUAUUGCUACUCUCUGGGCCAAAUUUCUUCAAACCACCACAAGGACAUUCAGGAAUUAUGGUUGAUGACUUUGUUGUUUCAAGCCAGCUGAUACUGUAGCCAGAGGACAAACCCUGCAGAAGUUCUCUUAUGGGUAAUUUCCCCAACCCUUACCAAUAGCCACUAUGCACUCUUCAUUGCAAGGGAAGGAAGGACAGGGGAGUAAAGAGAAGGUGGAAGGAAAUAUAAAAUGAUGGAAGGAC
rnacentral:lncRNA from 1 species